GAAAUGCGAUAAGUAAUGUGAAUUGCAGAAUUCAGUGAAUCAUCGAAUCUUUGAACGCACAUUGCGCCCCCUGGUAUUCCGGGGGGCAUGCCUGCUCGAGCGUCAUUUCACCACUCAAGCCUCGCUUGGUAUUGGGCGACGCGGUCCGCCGCGCGCCUCAAAUCGACCGGCUGGGUCUUCUGUCCCCUAAGCGUUGUGGAAACUAUUCGCUAAAGGGUGCCACGGGAGGUCACGCCGUAAAACAAGCCCAUUUCUAAGGUUGACCUCGGAUCAGGUAGGGAUACCCGCUGAACUUAAGC
rnacentral:misc_RNA from 1 species